GUAGGUGGCAAGCGUUGUCCGGAAUUAUUGGGCGUAAAGCGCGCGCAGGCGGUUCUUUAAGUCUGAUGUGAAAGCCCACGGCUCAACCGUGGAGGGUCAUUGGAAACUGGAGAACUUGAGUACAGAAGAGGAAAGCGGAAUUCCACGUGUAGCGGUGAAAUGCGUAGAGAUGUGGAGGAGCACCAGUGGCGAAGGCGGCUUUCUGGUCUGUAACUGACGCUGAGGCGCGAAAGCGUGGGGAGCAAACAGGAUUAGAUACCCUGGUAGUCCACGCCGUAAACGAUGAGUGCUAAGUGUUAGGGGGUUUUCCGCCCCCUUAGUGCUGCAGCUAACGCAUUAAGCACUCCGCCCUGGGAGUACGGCCGCAAGUCUG
rnacentral:rRNA from 1 species